CAUUAAAUUAGAAGCUCAAACAAACUAAUAUAAAGGAAAAAAAUGAAAAAGUUCGUCCAAAAGAGUUCUAAACUAUUAUGUCAAUUGGCUCAUCUUUUUUUUUCCAGAAGGCAGCUCAAAAUUUGUCCAAAGUUAGGCCCAAAACAUAGAAGCCCUUUAGAAUUAGGUUAUAUUAGAUUUCUCAAAACAAAACCUCCUAAAACCUACUUUACAUCAGCCGCUACACUCAAUCUCACUCUCUAUCUUCUUUGAAAAUAUAUCCACCCCUAUGUCAGUAUUGGCAGGACUAUGCAUGAUUAUUUUUAUGCAGAAAUGUAUUGCUAUAAUUCCCUAUCUUUCUUUUUGAACUGGUAAAUCAAGAAAAUAUAACAAUGAUUUUUUUUGAGAUUUUUUUUGUCUAAUCUGAAGAAUUGAUUUUCAGAUAUUCGAACAACUUUUAUUCAAAAUUCAAAUAGAUACUUUCGAUUCCCGCUCAAGGAACUCUAACCCUAAGUUUUUCCUUUAAAUACUUGAGUUCGGAUUUCAUUUUGACAUGUUCUGAUAUGCUCAAGUAGUAUCAUAGAAGUCUUAAAUUUGAUUUCUCAUCACAUCAUCAUUAAACUACUACUUUAAGAUUUUAUUUCUUUAUAAUUCUUCAUUUUGUUUUUGUUGGAUUGUGUCUAUAACAGAGACACUUAAAUUUAUUAUGGUUCGAUAUAUGUUCUUGAUUAUAUAGAUCCGAAGCUUUGCUGGUACUUCCUAGUUCACUGCCAAGAAAAAAGAUAUGAUGCUUUGCUGCUACUGCCUAGUUCAGUGCCAAGACAAAAGUUGGAAACUUUCGGCAAACAUCUCCAAGGACCGACCAAGGGUCCUUUAGGAAGGGCACAUGUUGGAGGCCAAGACUGCCCAAGGUAGCCUCACCUAUGGAAGCUAAUCGACGGCCAGUGGAGUGGUCAACAGUCCUUGGGCGAGGGGCCUGAGUAGUUACUUAGCUUGUGUUACAGUUCUUUGUAGGUGAAGAGCUUUCGGAAGAAGACUUGGACUUGGAGAUCGUUCAAGAAGAAGUUGAAGUAUGUCCUCACUUGACUUGAAGGCAUAUAUGUCAUAUUAUUUUUCUUUCAUAAAGUUUUUUAAUAGACUAUAUAGUAGUAUGUUUUAAAUUCGUAUGGCUCGUGUCCCAAGUAUUGUCGUGUCUUAAGAUGAUGAAUCGAGACUUAGUGUUUUCCUAUUUCUACAUAAA